rnacentral:rRNA from 1 species
GACGAACGCUGGCGGCGUGCUUAACACAUGCAAGUCGAACGGAAAGGCCCUGCUUUUGUGGGGUGCUCGAGUGGCGAACGGGUGAGUAACACGUGAGUAACCUGCCCUUGACUUUGGGAUAACUUCAGGAAACUGGGGCUAAUACCGGAUAGGAGCUCCUGCUGCAUGGUGGGGGUUGGAAAGUUUCGGCGGUUGGGGAUGGACUCGCGGCUUAUCAGCUUGUUGGUGGGGUAGUGGCUUACCAAGGCUUUGACGGGUAGCCGGCCUGAGAGGGUGACCGGCCGUUGGGGAACGGGAGCACCGCCGAGACUCCGACGGGGGGCGGCAGUGUGGACGAAAGAACAGGGGGGGGAAGCCUGAUGGCCCAGCGCCGCGGGCGGGCUGUCGGCCUUGGGGUUAUAAGCUGCUUGCGCGUGUGACGAAGGGGGGGCGCGGGUGAAGGGAAAAGAGGCACCGGAAAACGACGGGCCAGCGGCCGCGGUAGGAGUCGAAGCCCCCACGUUUGAAU